AUACGGAGGGCGCAAGCGUUGUUCGGAAUUACUGGGCGUAAAGCGCGUGUAGGCGGUUCGGCAAGUCGAAUGUGAAAGCCCCGGGCUCAACCCGGGAACUGCAUCCGAAACUGCCGAGCUAGAGUCCCGGAGAGGAAGGCAGAAUUCCCAGUGUAGGGGUGAAAUCCGUAGAUAUUGGGAGGAAUACCAGUGGCGAAGGCGGCCUUCUGGACGGUGACUGACGCUCAGACGCGAAAGCGUGGGGAGCAAACAGGAUUAGAAACCCCGGUAGUCC
rnacentral:rRNA from 1 species